rnacentral:lncRNA from 1 species
AUGCCAUGGUGAGGAGUUUUGGCAUCUUCAAAUGUCCUAGCAUCUCCUCAAUGUCAGAUUCAAGACCCAACUCCUUCAGCAGAUCAAGGUCGGCGAACCUGGUUGGAGUCCAAGUGACCCCAUUCUUCAAGUGAUCAUACAGCUCCUCCACAGAUGGAGUUUUCGCCCUAUCUUGAUCAACCGCAACCCCUUUGCCUUUGGACAUCUUGGCUUUCUUCGU